rnacentral:rRNA from 1 species
ACGAUGGACAUUGCAAAGAGUGGCGAACGGGUGAGUAACACGUGGGAAACCUACCUCUUAGCAGGGGAUAACAUUUGGAAACAGAUGCUAAUACCGUAUAACAAUGACAACCGCAUGGUUGUUAUUUAAAAGAUGGUUCUGCUAUCACUAAGAGAUGGUCCCGCGGUGCAUUAGCUAGUUGGUAAGGUAAUGGCUUACCAAGGCGAUGAUGCAUAGCCGAGUUGAGAGACUGAUCGGCCACAAUGGGACUGAGACACGGCCCAUACUCCUACGGGAGGCAGCAGUAGGGAAUCUUCCACAAUGGGCGAAAGCCUGAUGGAGCAACGCCGCGUGUGUGAUGAAGGGUUUCGGCUCGUAAAACACUGUUGUAAGAGAAGAAUGACAUUGAGAGUAACUGUUCAAUGUGUGACGGUAUCUUACCAGAAAGGAACGGCUAAAUACGUGCCAGCAGCCGCGGUAAUACGUAUGUUCCAAGCGUUAUCCGGAUUUAUUGGGCGUAAAGCGAGCGCAGACGGUUAUUUAAGUCUGAAGUGAAA